GAUGAACGCUGGCGGCGUGCCUAAUACAUGCAAGUCGAGCGAAUGGAUUAAGAGCUUGCUCUUAUGAAGUUAGCGGCGGACGGGUGAGUAACACGUGGGUAACCUGCCCAUAAGACUGGGAUAACUCCAGGAAACCGGGGCUAUACCGGAUAACAUUUUGAACCGCAUGGUUCGAAAUUGAAAGGCGGCUUCGGCUGUCACUGAUGGAUGGACCCGCGUCGCAUUAGCUAGUUGGUGAGGUAACGGCUCACCAAGGCAACGAUGCGUAGCCGACCUGAGAGGGUGAUCGGCCACACUGGGACUUAGACACGGCCCAGACUCCUACGGGAGGCAGCAGUAGGGAAUCUUCCGCAAUGGACGAAAGUCUGACGGAGCAACGCCGCGUGGGUGAUGAAGGCUUUCGGGUCGUAAAACUCUGUUGUUAGGGAAGAACAAGUGCUAGUUGAAUAAGCUGGCACCUUGACGGUACCUAACCAGAAAGCCACGGCUAACUACGUGCCAGCAGCCGCAGUAA
rnacentral:rRNA from 1 species